ensembl:lncRNA
AAACCAAAACAUCAGCACUCAGGGAGCAUGGACGGCACAAGUUUGUUUCCAGAACCAUCGAAAGAUUUUAAAAGAGCCUCGUACCUCCAGUCAAGCCGCGACCUGAUGCUGAGCUCCUGUUCAAUGCUUUCUGAUGAAUCAGUUUUCUGCUGGAAGAAUAAAGACUGAGGACUGAUAAAGUCUCUGGUGAGUGGAUCAAAGUGUCCUCUGGGUGCAGCUGAGGCAGAGACGUGACUGCUGACAGAGAUUCUCAGAAUCAGAAGAACUUCAUGUCCAUCUUACAAGUUUGCAGCCAGAGGGACAGAUGAAGAGUUUUGAAGAAGAUGAUGUCGUUGGUGCAUCGAAUGCAGCUUUUCCACCUCUGACAUUUCCAUCAGCCCCUAUUAACACCAGAAUAACAGUGAUGUGAC